CUCGCACGUGGCCGUCCAGACGAAAUUCUAACCGCUGGUCCGGUCUCUGGGUUUUUUGGUGGGGGACUGGGACCUGCGGCCUAGGGGUUUGGGAGGGGGAGGUCUGGGGGAGCUGCGCUCUACCGGCUGCUGUUGCCGCCGCCGCCGCUGCUGAUGCAGUCGCUCCGGCAGGCGGGGCUCCCACUAUGUGUAUGCGCACUUCUCCCUAACAGUUUUAGGUCCCUAGCUCUGUCUCUUUUUCUGUUCCUAUUCCUCGCGGUAUCCCUGGCACUGUCUCUAUCUCCUUCUCUGUCUCUAGCCCCAGCCCUGUCCCUAGAUCUGUUCCUAGCCCUGUCCCUGUUCCUAGCCCUAGCAGUGGUUUCCGUAGUGGCACUGUUUUCCCUCGUGGCUCUGGCAGGACUACUAGUGCUAGCAGUGUCUUCGGCACUAAGACUUUCCUCUUCCCUGGCGCUCUCUCUACCUGUAGCGUCCGUAGCGAGAGCAAGUGCCAGAGCAAGUUCCCCGUCCCUACUAGUGUCUAGAGCUAGAGUAAGUUUUUCGUUCGCUCAGUCACCUAAGCUGGACCCUGGUUGUCGUGUUAGGCAUGAAGGAGUCAAGGGAUGGUAAGGUUGGGGUUCGUUAGAACCCAGUGAACGGGGUGACGGCGGCUACCUACGUGUCGGAUGACAUCGAAAUUACAUGUUCCUCCUUAGUCACGAGGCCAAACUAUAGCAGAACAGGUAGAAGUCGAUCGUUCAUAAUGUCUAACGAUCGAAGUACUGAUAAUGUAAAUAGGAAGGUGUGAACAACAAACAAGAAACUGUACUUUAUGACGUGUCGACCUAGGUAAACUCUAGGUCUGACUACCACUCUUCAUUAGUCCAAAUGUUCUCCUUAUGAGAAAACACGAUUAACAAAUACGAAGGAUGAUCUUUAAAUAACCAUGUAACGUCCAGUCAAUGGCCCGAGAAGAUAAGGACCUUACAAGGGCUUGUACGAGGGAAAACGACAACCUGUCAAGUUAGGGGAGCAGUACGUCGGUGUUCGGUACUGAGUUGUCCGAUGAGCCGUACGAGCCGCACAAAUACAGCCACCGGAAGGGGGUAGACGAUUACUUGUCAGACAACGUUAUAUGAAAUUAGUUCAGUACCGACGAUAACCUCCUUUGUGACGACCAGGUCCACUACGACAAGAAUUACACAUGUAUUUGGUACUGUUCUUUAAGCGAAAACACCUCUACUCCAGACACCUCCUUCGUUCGUUACGUUACCGUGACCUACCGUAAAAUAAACUUCCACGUGGUCACUUCCAAUCUUCUGGUUGUCUGAUAUUGGGAAGAGACCGUCGACGGGACCCGGGUUCGGUCGGUUCGAGGUUAAACUUAGAACGACGCCAACCGGAUUGUGGUCCAAGUCGGCCUCCCAAUCUUCCGGGCCUGGCAUAAAAACACCCACCAGAGGGGAUAAUGAAGUGUCUCCGAGUUCAAGCCCUCGACGAACUUAGUAAACCCGGAGAAGCUCCUAAACUAGAACACUUUCUAUCCCUUUGACCAUUGAGUUUCCCGAUACGCAAGACACAGAUGGUCCUGGAGUUACAGUGACUGUAUCGGACGCGACGAGAUUUACCAUAGUUCUACCCUCUGUUUUGAGAAUGCCAGUCUGCUCGUUUGGUCCCGAGUCGGGUUGGAUCUGGUCUCGUCCUUUUAUAGGACAACGUCCGUGUCGUCGUCCACGUCAAUGUCUUUGAACACAUAGUUCAACCUCGCGAGGGAUGUUUCCAACAUACGGACUGGGUCCAUCAAUGACGACUACUUAAUUUUCUACUACUUCUUAUACUCCUGUAAUACCUCCUGUACUCCAACCUUCGACCCUUUAUACCAUUGAACCACUUUCAACAGUAGGGCGCGGGAGUAGGCUCACCUCUCGGUCAAAGACCUCAACCUUUCCACAAGAAUCUCAUACGUCUACAACUACCAAGGUGGUUUCGUUUCUGCCGCUACGUGCCUUCCUUUAAGCCACCUUUGGGUCAACAACGCCAGAAGAUGGGGCUCUUGUUCAAACGACUACUCCUGAUACUGCGCCGUCGUAUUUAAUAGAGAAAAGGUUACUGUUAUCACGAAACACAUCAAACAAGCUAAAUGUCGUUGCAAAAGGGAAAUCAGUUCGAAAGGACAUCGGGACCUAAAUACGUCUUGGCGGUCAAUAAUUAUAACCUUCUAUCUAACGGAUUUCUACUAGAUAACCAGAACAGGGAAUUAGAACUGACCGCAAUCUACACGGUCCCAUACGGUAAGAGAAGUAAAUCCCGGGAACUUUCUAAUAAUCGGUCAUUGAAAUGGAAAUCGAAAUGGUACGUUUACCGAGUUUUCUCAGUAGAACUUGUUGAACCGUACCAUUGGAGGCAGAUCUAGUAAUGCACGGAGUACUAUAAUGGAGGGGUCAAGUAUCAUAGUAUUGUAAACAUCUUAGGGUUAUUCAACAAUAGAUGAUGCAGGCAGAUCUAGUAUAGUAAACAUCUUAAGGUAAUUCGACACCAACAAUAGAUGAUGGAGGGACAUCUAAGUGAGUAAAGUGGCUGUCAAUUCGACACCAACAAUAGA
rnacentral:rRNA from 1 species